UACGGAGGGGGCGAGCGUUGUUCGGAGUUACUGGGCGUAAAGCGCACGUAGGCGGUGCGGUAAGUCAGGGGUUAAAGGCUGCAGCUCAACUGCAGUAAGGCCUCAGAUACUAUCGUGCUAGAGUGCCGGAGAGGGUAGCGGAAUUCCCUGUGUAGCGGUGAAAUGCGUAGAUAUAGGGAGGAACACCGGUUGCGAAGGCGGCUACCUGGCCGGUAACUGACACUGAGGCUCGAAAGCGUGGGGAGCAAACAGG
rnacentral:rRNA from 1 species